UACGGAGGGUGCGAGCGUUGUCCGGAAUUAUUGGGCGUAAAGGGCUCGUAGGCGGUUUGUCGCGUCGGGAGUGAAAACACCGGGCUUAACUCGGUGCUUGCUUUCGAUACGGGCAGACUGGAGGUAUGCAGGGGAGAACGGAAUUCCUGGUGUAGCGGUGAAAUGCGCAGAUAUCAGGAGGAACACCGGUGGCGAAGGCGGUUCUCUGGGCAUUACCUGACGCUGAGGAGCGAAAGUGUGGGGAGCGAACAGG
rnacentral:rRNA from 1 species